AACUUGAAAGCUUAUAAAGCAUUUAUUUGUUAAUUAAAAGAAGAAAAUUUUUCUCAA
rnacentral:tRNA from 1 species